UUAGGGUCCAAUCUAAUUCUGCCUGAUGUUCUAUUCAUGUAGUCUCGCUUUUGGACUAGAACAUAGCUUACAUCUUUUAUUAUCCUUGUGCUAGCUAUUAUCCUUCCAAAGCAAAGCACACGAGAAACGUAAAAGAACAUCA